rnacentral:rRNA from 1 species
UACAGAGGGUGCGAGCGUUGUUCGGAAUUAUUGGGCGUAAAGGGCGCGUAGGCGGCGCCACAAGUCACCUGUGAAAACUCUGGGCUCAACCCAGAGCCUGCAGGCGAAACUGUGGUGCUGGAGUAUGGGAGAGGUGCGUGGAAUUCCCGGUGUAGCGGUGAGAUGCGUAGGUAUCGGGAGGAACACCUGUGGCGAAAGCGGCGCACUGGACCAUAACUGACGCUGAGGCGCGAAAGCUAGGGGAGCAAACAGG